rnacentral:rRNA from 1 species
GGUGAGUAACACGUGGGCAACCUACCUGUAAGACUGGGAUAACUCGCGGAAACGUGAGCUAAUACCGGAUAACAUCUUCCUCCGCAUGGAGGAAGAUUGAAAGACGGCUCUGCUGUCACUUACAGAUGGGCCCGCGGCGCAUUAGCUAGUUGGUGAGGUAACGGCUCACCAAGGCGACGAUGCGUAGCCGACCUGAGAGGGUGAUCGGCCACACUGGGACUGAGACACGGCCCAGACUCCUACGGGAGGCAGCAGUAGGGAAUCUUCCGCAAUGGACGAAAGUCUGACGGAGCAACGCCGCGUGAGCGAAGAAGGUCUUCGGAUCGUAAAGCUCUGUUGUUAGGGAAGAAUAAGUACGAGAGUAACUGCUCGUACCUUGACGGUACCUAACCAGAAAGCCACGGCUAACUACGUGCCAGCAGCCGCGGUAAUACGUAGGUGGCAAGCGUUGUCCGGAAUUAUUGGGCGUAAAGCGCGCGCAGGCGGUUCCUUAAGUCUGAUGUGAAAUCUUGCGGCUCAACCGUGAGCGGUCNUUGGANACUGGGGAACUUGAGUGCAGGAGANAAGAGCGGAAUUCCACGUGUAGCGGUGAAAUGCGUAGAGAUGUGGAGGAACACCAGUGGCGAAGGCGGCUCUUUGGCCUGUAACUGACGCUGAGGCGCGAAAAGCGUGGGGAGCANACAGGAUUAGAUACCCCUGGUAGUCCACNCC